GAGGCAGCAGUGGGGAAUAUUGCACAAUGGGCGCAAGCCUGAUGCAGCCAUGCCGCGUGUGUGAGGGAGGCCUUCGGGUUGUAAAGCACUUUCAGCGGGGAGGAAGGCAGUGAGGUUAAUAACCUCACCGAUUGACGGUACCCGCAGAAGAAGCACCGGCUAACUCCGUGCCAGCAGCCGCGGUAAGACGGAGGGUGCAAGCGUUAAUCGGAAUUACUGGGCGUAAAGCGCACGCAGGCGGUCUGUCAAGUCGGA
rnacentral:rRNA from 1 species